rnacentral:rRNA from 1 species
CCUACGGGCGGCAGCAGUAGGGAAUCUUUCACAAUGGGCGAAAGCCUGAUGGAGCAAAGCCGCGUGCAGGAUGAAGGCCUUCGGGUUGUAAACUGCUUUUAUAAGCGAGAAAUAUGAUGGUAACUUAUGAAUAAGGAUCGGCUAACUACGUGCCAGCAGCCGCGGUCAUACGUAGGAUCCGAGCAUUAUCCGGAGUGACUGGGUGUAAAGAGUUGCGUAGGUGGCAUAAUAAGUAGCUAGUGAAAUCUGGUGGCUCAACCAUUCAGACUAUUAGCUAAACUGUUAAGCUCGAGACCGUUAGGGGUAACUGGAAUUUCUAGUGUAGGAGUGAAAUCCGUAGAUAUUAGAAGGAACACCAAUAGCGUAGGCAGGUUGCUGGGACGGUUCUGACACUAAGGCACGAAAGCGUAGGGAGCAAACGGGAUUAGAUACCCCUGUAGUC